GACGAACGCUGGCGGCGUGCUUAACACAUGCAAGUCGAACGGAAAGGCCCUGCUUUUGUGGGGUGCUCGAGUGGCGAACGGGUGAGUAACACGUGAGUAACCUGCCCUUGACUUUGGGAUAACUUCAGGAAACUGGGGCUAAUACCGGAUAUGAGCUCCUGCUGCAUGUUGUGGGUUGGAAAGUUUCGGCGGUUGGGGAUGGACUCGCGGCUUAUCAGCUUGUUGGUGGGGUAGUGGCUUACCAAGGCUUUGACGGGUAGCCGGCCUGAGAGGGUGACCGGCAACAUUGGGACUGAGAUACGGCCCAGACUCCUACGGGAGGCAGCAGUGGGGAAUAUUGCACAAUGGGCGGAAGCCUGAUGCAGCAACGCCGCGUGCGGGAUGACGGCCUUCGGGUUGUAAACCGCUUUCGCCUGUGACGAAGCGUGAGUGACGGUAAUGGGUAAAGAAGCACCGGCUAACUACGUG
rnacentral:rRNA from 1 species